GAGAGUAUAGCUCAGUGGUACAGUGCAUGCUUAGCAUGCACGAGGUCCUGGGUUCAAUCCUCAGUACCACCA
rnacentral:tRNA from 1 species